AACGAACGCUGGCGGCAGGCUUAACACAUGCAAGUCGAACGGGUGCAGCAAUGCAUCAGUGGCAGACGGGUGAGUAACACGUGGGAACCUUCCUAGGGGUACGGAACAACUCAGGGAAACUUGAGCUAAUACCGUAUACGUCCGUGAGGAGAAAGAUUUAUCGCCCUUAGACGGGCCCGCGUCGGAUUAGCUAGUUGGUGGGGUAACGGCCUACCAAGGCGACGAUCCGUAGCUGAUCUUAGAGGAUGAUCAGCCACACUGGGACUGAGACACGGCCCAGCCUCCUACGGGAGGCAGCAGUGGGGAAUCUUGGACAAUGGGCGCAAGCCUGAUCCAGCCAUGCCGCGUGAGUGAAGAAGGUCUUCGGAUUGUAAAGCUCUUUUGCCAGGGACGAUAAUGACGGUACCUGGAGAAUAAGCCCCGGCAAACUUCGUGCCAGCCGCCGCAGUAAGAC
rnacentral:rRNA from 1 species